CGCACAAAAACACUACCAUUCAGUAGCUCAGAGACACAAACCCAAGCAGAAAAUGUUUUAAUCUAGAACUCGAUAUUUUUUCACGCUCUCGUUCCCCAUAACUGCAGUGCCACACAGUAGGUCAGUGAAGAAGCUACGGGGGGUAUUUCCUUUCACUUGAGAAAGAGAAGCGGACAGCACACGGACAGACGGAGACACCGGCGCGCUUGACGUGACGGCCACCAGCUUCAGUUAAUCGAACCCUCAUUCAUCUCGCUUAUGGGCGCAACACAGACCGAGCCAACCCUGAAGUUGGGAAAGCUGGAAAUGGCCCGCCAGAGGCUGCUUCAGCGUUAUGAGCACCAGCCCUUUGUCUCCUGUCUAGCUGGACUCUACGGCUGUCAGUGGAGGCGUAAUCAGCUCACACAUGCUCAGCCUGGACACUGCUGCUGCUCGAAGCUGGAGUGUGGCAGUUUUGCUCUGAUCGUUCUGACAUUUUGUCUCAGUCUGGUGUUCCUGUACUUCUGGAGUGAAGCACAGAAUGACUACAAUGACUUUGACUGGUUUAAUUUUGGUAACCUUGGCUUCUGGUUUCCAUGGUCCAUAGUUUUGUUGAUUCUUGCUGUUUUUUGUUCACUUAUGUUGCUGUUUUGCUGCUGCUGGCAGUUUGUCUUCUCUCAGAAGGCCAGAGGUUAUAUUUACAUCGGUGUCACAAGAUCGGGAUCUCAGUGACUUUGAUUCUCUCCAUCGUGGCCUCAUCUGUUCUCACAGAUUUAUGGAGCAAGGAGUGGAAGACUGUACUUUUAUCUUUUCAGG